CUACGGGGUGCUCCAGUGGGGAAUAUUGCACAAUGGGCGCAAGCCUGAUGCAGCAACGCCGCGUGAGGGAUGAAGGCCUUCGGGUUGUAAACCUCUUUUAGCAGGGAAGAAGCGAAAGUGACGGUACCUGCAGAAAAAGCACCGGCUAACUACGUGCCAGCAGCCGCGGUAAUACGUAGGGUGCAAGCGUUGUCCGGAAUUAUUGGGCGUAAAGAGCUCGUAGGCGGUUUGUCAUGUCUGCUGUGAAAAUCCAAGGCUCAACCUUGGACUUGCAGUGGGUACGGGCAGGCUAGAGUGCGGUAGGGGAGAUGGGAAUUCCUGGUGUAGCGGUGGAAUGCGCAGAUAUCAGGAGGAACACCAAUGGCGAAGGCACAUCUCUGGGCCGUAACUGACGCUGAGGAGCGAAAGCGUGGGGAGCGAACAGGAUUAGAUACCCGGGUAGUC
rnacentral:rRNA from 1 species